rnacentral:rRNA from 1 species
GCGUUGUCCGGAUUUAUUGGGCGUAAAGCGUCCGCAGGCGGUGUGAGAAGUUCGAGGUGACAGUGCACGGCUUAACCGCGCAAGGUCCUUGAAAACUGCCACACUUGAGGGCUUCAGAGGGACCCGGAAUUCCGGGUGGAGUGGUGAAAUGCGUAGAGAUCCGGAGGAACACCAAAGGCGCAGGCAGGGUCCUGGGAAGCCACUGACGCUCAUGGACGAAAGCUAG